UUUUGAUGAUGACAAACCUUUUCAGUUCUGCUUCUGAACCAAAAAUUCCUGAAGAUAACAAAAUUACCAAAACUGCUGACCA
rnacentral:snoRNA from 1 species